rnacentral:rRNA from 1 species
UACCAGGCACCCCGAGUGGUCGGGACGUUUUAUUGGGCCUAAAGCAUCCGUAGCCGGUUCUACAAGUCUUCCGUUAAAUCCACCUGCUUAACAGAUGGGCUGCGGAAGAUACUAUGGAGCUAGGAGGCGGGAGAGGCAAGCGGUACUCGAUGGGUAGGGGUAAAAUCCGUUGAUCCAUUGAAGACCACCAGUGGCGAAGGCGGCUUGCCAGAACGCGCUCGACGGUGAGGGAUGAAAGCUGGGGGAGCAAACCGGG